UACGUAGGGUGCGAGCGUUGUCCGGAAUUAUUGGGCGUAAAGAGCUCGUAGGCGGUGUGUCACGUCGGCCGUGAAAACCUGCAGCUUAACUGUGGCGUGCGGUCGAUACGGGCAUCACUGGAGUUCGGCAGGGAGACUGGAAUUCCUGGUGUAGCGGUGAAAUGCGCAGAUAUCAGGAGGAACACCGGUGGCGAAGGCGGGUCUCUGGGCCGAAUACUGACGCUGGAGGAGCGAAAGCCAUGGGAGCGAACAGG
rnacentral:rRNA from 1 species